ACCAAGAGUGAUCAACUGACCCGGGCAGCCAGAAGAGAUGAUAGGGAUACAUAUUCUUAACGGUGAUAGAGUGGUUUCAUAGAACAAAAUAGGCUGUUCCUGCCCGAGGGAACAUGGACUUCAGUGGAAGAGACACUCAGAAGAGAGCUGCGAAACAAGUAAGAAUUUCAGAUUGUGCUCAGUUCUUUGAAGAAAAACACAUGGGAUAAGUGAGAGACGUGUGACUCUGGGGGCAGAGGCUGUGUGGUCAGGAGGGGGCCCGUCAGUCAAAAGGCCUUGGUUGCCAAGCCAUUGAAACUCCUUCUGCGUCAUGUUGGGCAGAUUACAAUGUAGAUGAUUCCGUAGCUGGGCUGCAGCACCGUCCCUGGAGAGCACAUGACAGGAAUGCAUGUUGGGCAGGAUGUGAAGCUGAGCCCUGGGCUGAAGCAAACUUGACCCCACCUGCGGACAGGACACUUCUGAAGCCGCUGCCUCGGCUUCCACCAGAAGCUGCAUCUCUGUGCUGCUAGAGAUGGAGAGCCCUGUCUUAGCUGGUUCAGUCGGGGCUGAGUGUUCAGCAGCUAAAGCUGCAUGUACUGUGACCUUCUGAGCCAAAGGCAGGGAAAGAUGCUCUCUAAUCCAUCUGGAAGUGAUUUUGGUAUGUGGUAUGUAAAGUAUUUUAAAAAAACAUAUAGUUUGAGUAAAACUGUUGGUGGUAGGCUAAAAGCUCCUUAAAAACAGGAAGCAUGACUGAAUCACUCUGGUUUCCUCCACUUUCCCAGACAGAAGAGUCACCAACGCAGCCUCCUUGCUCAGGCUGCGCUGCCCCAACUACAGUCAGGGACCCCCCCGCCUUCCCUCUGCUGGGAGGCACCAGCCACCUGUGACUAGUGUCCUGACACCUCCCAUGUCCCCAGCAGACACCUGCCACAGUUGCGUUCGGGGAGAACCCGAGCAAUUAGCCAGCAGCGCCCCCUGGCGCCUCUUUCACCGCAAGUGUUCGGCUCUCAACUUGUUCAACCACCCUCCACCCGCUCCACGGGCAACUUUUCCGGGAAGGCGCCUCCAAAGACCUCUGUGAGUAGCGUAGGCUGCUCUGCUCUGACAACCUCUUCGGGGUAAAUUUCUUUUCCAUUUGAACAGCUUCUCCUUAGUUAAGGAGAAACCGUUAUUGCCCGGUUGCUUUUUCGUCUUUUGGAUGGAGAGAAGCAGAGGAAUUCUGGGCGGAGGCCAACGAUUAGCUGCAACAUCUACUGAUCACUUCCAUGAAGUCUUUGAGCCUUUGUAUAAAUAAAACACCAGCCGGGGGCUCCUUCUGCUCCCAUUGAUGCCCGAGUGCCAACUACAGGUUUGACUCUGAGACCCUCCUUAAAAAAUUAGGAAAAAAAUUUUUUAAAACGUUUUUAAAUUGGAUUUUUAUUGCCUAAGGAGGGAUCUGUAAAAUACGUAGAGUGGGAAGAAUGCAGAUAAAUAAGACCUGAAAGUUGUCCUCAAAUAUAUCAAAGCCAUACUGGAUAGUGGACCUGCUGGAGAAUAGAAAAAUAAA
rnacentral:lncRNA from 1 species